UUCUGCAGCCGUGGGUUCGCAGCCACAGUCAGCCCCGCCCGCAGUGCCUUCGGAUCGAGCGCUCCCUGGGCAGCCGUCACUCGCCCGCCGUCGGACACAGCCGCCCCCACUCCCGUGUUCUCCUGCGGUCCGGACACAUAGUAUGAUCUUUAAGAGUUCCGUCUCCCAGCCACUUUCUAUGGAAAACCGCGGGGAUCAGGCCAUGAUAGCCACUGGCAGCUUUGAAGAACGGGACACCUUUAGAGAAGCUUGAUCCUGGAGGCCUCAGUGUGAGACCUCAAAGCUCCGCACCAGAUUCCGGCAGAGUUCCUCUGUCUCGUCUUGCUGA